rnacentral:tRNA from 1 species
GAGUCUGUGGUGUAGUGGUUAGCACGCCUGCCCGGCAAACAGGAGAUGUCAGGUUCAAGUCCUUACCGGGGUUU